rnacentral:rRNA from 1 species
UGCCAGCAGCCGCGGUAAUACGUAGGUGGCAAGCGUUAUCCGGAUUUACUGGGUGUAAAGGGCGCGUAGGCGGGGAUGCAAGUCAGGUGUGAAAUCUAUGGGCUCAACCCAUAAACUGCACUUGAAACUGUAUCUCUUGAGUGUCGGAGAGGUAGAUGGAAUUCCUUGUGUAGCGGUGAAAUGCGUAGAUAUAAGGAAGAACACCAGUGGCGAAGGCGAUCUACUGGACGAUAACUGACGCUGAGGCGCGAAAGCGUGGGGAGCAAACAGGAUUAGAUA